rnacentral:lncRNA from 10 species
GAGGAGUCCCAGGGAAGGGGACGUCUCCUCUACCUGGGCCAGGCUGGGAAGGCUUCAUGGUGGAGACGGCGGGCCCAGGCGCGUGGGCCCGGAGUGGGGCGGGAAAUGCGCUGGGGAGGCGAGGCUGUGCCGGGAUGCUGGGCCCAGCCUCUCCUGGGCCCCUAGAGCCAGCCCGGGAAAGAGGAGUUUAAGACCAAGCAUGUUCUGAGAACACCACACAGCAAGUACUGGGCUACAUGUUGUACAGACAUUCUCAUCAUGUCACUGGAACUUCUCAGCUAACCUGAGGUCAGAACCUUCUGAAAACCUGGGAAACUUUCUGUAGUCAGAAUCCACUACUCUACCACUAAUGUCUCUUCCAUCCGGCUCUGCAGCACCUGAGCAAAAGACCUCUGCAGCUGAGUCCAAAGAGCAUUCCCAUGUGAACCGAGCAACCAAGUAUCAUCGGAGUGAGUUUGUUAGAUUCUAGCCCCAUCCUGUGCUAGGCCUUAGGUAGACCUCUUACAGCUCACAAGAAAUGCAGUUUAUGAGGAAAGACCAUGAAUCGGGGGGCGGCCCGGGGAGGGUAUUACCAAACAGAUCAGCAUCAGGAACAUCAUUCCCAGAGAGAAAUUUGGCCAAUUGUCAGUUCAAGUACACAUCUCUCCCUCCUUUUACAGCAUAUUGCAAUAGAUUAUAGCCAUGCGAAAUAAUCCAUAAACUUAGCUAAUUCCACCAAACAGAUAGGAAAGAAGGUAGAGUCCUACAAGAGCCUAGUCAGAAUAAGAACUACAGUAAUUUUGC